rnacentral:rRNA from 1 species
CAGUAGCCGCGGUAAUACGUAGGUGGCAAGCGUUGUCCGGAAUUAUUGGGCGUAAAGGGCUCGCAGGCGGCUUCUUAAGUCUGAUGUGAAAGCCCCCGGCUCAACCGGGGAGGGUCAUUGGAAACUGGGAAACUUGAGUGCAGAAGGGGAGAGUGGAAUUCCACGUGUAGCGGUGAAAUGCGUAGAGAUGUGGAGGAACACCAGUGGCGAAGGCGACUCUCUGGUCCGUAACUGACGCUGAGGAGCGAAAGCGUGGGGAGCGAACAGGAUUAGAGACCCCAGUAGUCCCUGUCUCUUAUAC